UUAAGCGACUAAGCGUACACGGUGGAUGCCCUGGCAGUCAGAGGCGAUGAAGGACGUGCUAAUCUGCGAUAAGCGUCGGUAAGGUGAUAUGAACCGUUAUAACCGGCGAUUUCCGAAUGGGGAAACCCAGUGUGUUUCGACACACUAUCAUUAACUGAAUCCAUAGGUUAAUGAGGCGAACCGGGGGAACUGAAACAUCUAAGUACCCCGAGGAAAAGAAAUCAACCGAGAUUCCCCCAGUAGCGGCGAGCGAACGGGGAGCAGCCCAGAGCCUGAAUCAGUGUGUGUGUUAGUGGAAGCGUCUGGAAAGGCGCGCGAUACAGGGUGACAGCCCCGUACACAAAAAUGCACAUACUGUGAGCUCGAUGAGUAGGGCGGGACACGUGGUAUCCUGUCUGAAUAUGGGGGGACCAUCCUCCAAGGCUAAAUACUCCUGACUGACCGAUAGUGAACCAGUACCGUGAGGGAAAGGCGAAAAGAACCCCGGCGAGGGGAGUGAAAAAGAACCUGAAACCGUGUACGUACAAGCAGUGGGAGCCUCUUUUAUGGGGUGACUGCGUACCUUUUGUAUAAUGGGUCAGCGACUUAUAUUCUGUAGCAAGGUUAACCGAAUAGGGGAGCCGAAGGGAAACCGAGUCUUAACCGGGCGUUAAGUUGCAGGGUAUAGACCCGAAACCCGGUGAUCUAGCCAUGGGCAGGUUGAAGGUUGGGUAACACUAACUGGAGGACCGAACCGACUAAUGUUGAAAAAUUAGCGGAUGACUUGUGGCUGGGGGUGAAAGGCCAAUCAAACCGGGAGAUAGCUGGUUCUCCCCGAAAGCUAUUUAGGUAGCGCCUCGUGAAUUCAUCUCCGGGGGUAGAGCACUGUUUCGGCAAGGGGGUCAUCCCGACUUACCAACCCGAUGCAAACUGCGAAUACCGGAGAAUGUUAUCACGGGAGACACACGGCGGGUGCUAACGUCCGUCGUGAAGAGGGAAACAACCCAGACCGCCAGCUAAGGUCCCAAAGUCAUGGUUAAGUGGGAAACGAUGUGGGAAGGCCCAGACAGCCAGGAUGUUGGCUUAGAAGCAGCCAUCAUUUAAAGAAAGCGUAAUAGCUCACUGGUCGAGUCGGCCUGCGCGGAAGAUGUAACGGGGCUAAACCAUGCACCGAAGCUGCGGCAGCGACACUGUGUGUUGUUGGGUAGGGGAGCGUUCUGUAAGCCUGUGAAGGUGUACUGUAAGGUAUGCUGGAGGUAUCAGAAGUGCGAAUGCUGACAUAAGUAACGAUAAAGCGGGUGAAAAGCCCGCUCGCCGGAAGACCAAGGGUUCCUGUCCAACGUUAAUCGGGGCAGGGUGAGUCGACCCCUAAGGCGAGGCCGAAAGGCGUAGUCGAUGGGAAACAGGUUAAUAUUCCUGUACUUGGUGUUACUGCGAAGGGGGGACGGAGAAGGCUAUGUUGGCCGGGCGACGGUUGUCCCGGUUUAAGCGUGUAGGCUGGUUUUCCAGGCAAAUCCGGAAAAUCAAGGCUGAGGCGUGAUGACGAGGCACUACGGUGCUGAAGCAACAAAUGCCCUGCUUCCAGGAAAAGCCUCUAAGCAUCAGGUAACAUCAAAUCGUACCCCAAACCGACACAGGUGGUCAGGUAGAGAAUACCAAGGCGUUUGAGAGAACUCGGGUGAAGGAACUAGGCAAAAUGGUGCCGUAACUUCGGGAGAAGGCACGCUGAUAUGUAGGUGAAGUCCCUCGCGGAUGGAGCUGAAAUCAGUCGAAGAUACCAGCUGGCUGCAACUGUUUAUUAAAAACACAGCACUGUGCAAACACGAAAGUGGACGUAUACGGUGUGACGCCUGCCCGGUGCCGGAAGGUUAAUUGAUGGGGUCAGCGCAAGCGAAGCUCUUGAUCGAAGCCCCGGUAAACGGCGGCCGUAACUAUAACGGUCCUAAGGUAGCGAAAUUCCUUGUCGGGUAAGUUCCGACCUGCACGAAUGGCGUAAUGAUGGCCAGGCUGUCUCCACCCGAGACUCAGUGAAAUUGAACUCGCUGUGAAGAUGCAGUGUACCCGCGGCAAGACGGAAAGACCCCGUGAACCUUUACUAUAGCUUGACACUGAACAUUGAGCCUUGAUGUGUAGGAUAGGUGGGAGGCUUUGAAGUGUGGACGCCAGUCUGCAUGGAGCCGACCUUGAAAUACCACCCUUUAAUGUUUGAUGUUCUAACGUGGACCCGUGAUCCGGGUUGCGGACAGUGUCUGGUGGGUAGUUUGACUGGGGCGGUCUCCUCCUAAAGAGUAACGGAGGAGCACGAAGGUUGGCUAAUCCUGGUCGGACAUCAGGAGGUUAGUGCAAUGGCAUAAGCCAGCUUGACUGCGAGCGUGACGGCGCGAGCAGGUGCGAAAGCAGGUUAUAGUGAUCCGGUGGUUCUGAAUGGAAGGGCCAUCGCUCAACGGAUAAAAGGUACUCCGGGGAUAACAGGCUGAUACCGCCCAAGAGUUCAUAUCGACGGCGGUGUUUGGCACCUCGAUGUCGGCUCAUCACAUCCUGGGGCUGAAGUAGGUCCCAAGGGUAUGGCUGUUCGCCAUUUAAAGUGGUACGCGAGCUGGGUUUAGAACGUCGUGAGACAGUUCGGUCCCUAUCUGCCGUGGGCGCUGGAGAACUGAGGGGGGCUGCUCCUAGUACGAGAGGACCGGAGUGGACGCAUCACUGGUGUUCGGGUUGUCAUGCCAAUGGCACUGCCCGGUAGCUAAAUGCGGAAGAGAUAAGUGCUGAAAGCAUCUAAGCACGAAACUUGCCCCGAGAUGAGUUCUCCCUGACCCUUUAAGGGUCCUGAAGGAACGUUGAAGACGACGACGUUGAUAGGCCGGGUGUGUAAGCGCAGCGAUGCGUUGAGCUAACCGGUACUAAUGAACCGUGAGGCUUAACCU
rnacentral:rRNA from 1 species